rnacentral:lncRNA from 1 species
AGUUGGACUGGGGAAAAGAUCAUUAACUUGCUCAGACAUCUGAGGACAUCAGUGAACUCCUGUACCUCACUCACCAAGAACUCCUGGUAAGGAGGAUCUUUGUUCUGGAAUCCCCUGGGAAAAGACUCGUUUUGUGGAAAGAUUAGGAAUUCCUGGGUUGGAGAGUUGCCUUGGAAGAGACUUGCCUUUCCCUGAAGUCCAGAGAUCAACCUGUCAGAAACAACUUGGUUAAGGUAAACCCAAGGUUUUUGUCACUUAGGUGGUUUACCUAGGAAGCCAACCUCAGGCUUUGGGUAAGGACUCAGUACAUCUGUGAGUCCUGCAU